CUGGACAUUUCCAAUGAGUUCAGUGAAGCGACGAUACGCUUUUCAAGUAUAAGCCUACCUAACAAAUUGACUUCACGAUGAUGAACCUUUCAUCAAUGUGUGUUUUCGUCCUCCUGCUCUCGGUUGCUACAGCCUCAUCGGAGGAUGAGUUUGAGCCUGGCUGCGAGGACAACGGUGUCAGCUAUGAUGUCUUCGAUACCUACACUCCAGCUGACGACACCUGUAAUUACUGUGACUGUACGAUCGCUGGGCCUCUUUGCAGUCGGAAAACUUGUGAGGAUGUCUUGGCUGGGUGCAACGACUCAUCGGUCAGGGGCCCAUGCUGCGCAGAGUGUGGAUGGGUCAAAGGUCCCAACUGAUACCUCAAUCUAAUCUUCCUCAACCUCGGAGCCUGGGGAUUCCUGCUAUCGGCCCCACGAGAAGGAGGACUGCAGAACAUACAUGAGCAUUAAAGGCUAUUAUACUGCCAGCUGCCAAAUGAGCUGCAUCCCAUCACUGCAUCGGCAAUAAGGAAUUUUUGAUGCAUAAAUGGCUGUGUGUUGCCAAUGUAUGAAAUGGAUGUAAUUAAAGGGGACAGAUUAUA